rnacentral:lncRNA from 1 species
GGGAGGGGAGGGGCGGGGAGGAAAGGGGGAGGGCACUCAGCCCCCCCGGCCGGGGAGAGCCGGGGAGAGAGGCGAAGAAAGAGCUGCCUCCGCCAUGCCCGGCGCGCAUGCGUAGUAGCACGGGAUGGCCCCGCCCCGCUACGCGAAAGCCCUGGACUUGGCUCUCCCACAGGCUCGGAGGCCCAGGGUGUGGCGCGGACUAAUGAUGUCAUCAAUAUGCGGACGUCUGUAAGGGGUGGGGUGGAGGGAGAAACAGAGCGCCUGCGCUGGCGCAGUCUGGAAGGUGAACCAUAGACUGAAAGUUUCCUUUUGCGGAAGCCACGAUAACCAGUGUGGGAGAACUUCAUCCACAUUUACACAGUUGGGCUUAAACUUCAGAAUCUUUCCGAUUGCUGAGAUACAGUUCUCUGUAGCAAUCACAUUCUUUUUGGUUUUGGAAUUUGCACACUUAAUAACUUUUACCAAGAGUGGAACGGCUUCUGAACACAAGGAACGGUAGUCAUCUCCACCAAACUGUGCCAUGACUCCCAGUCCAUAAGCAGCAGCUUGUCUGACUUCAGGGUUGUUGUCUCGCAUAUUGAGAAGCAUCGGCCACCGGAAAUACUCAACAUACUUGAAUGAGGUUGGACUGCAAUGCUCUAUGAUGUCAUCAAAUAUGCAUAGUCCCCAUUGUCUGUCUGGCCAUGGCCUACUUGAACAAAUUAGAUUUACAAUUAGUGGGAGUAGCUGCUCAAACCAUGGCAAAAUUUUUUCCUUGUAAGUACUAAAUAAUGAGUGCAAAAUAUCUGAUACUUUGGUCAGAAUAUAAACAUCACAUUCAUCCUCAUCUUGAAGAGACAUUUCAACCUGUUGGUCAUAAUUUUCUUCUUGCCUUUUUACUUGCCGUAACUCUUGGUUUUUAAAGUGCCCUUCAAGUUUUGCCUUCAAAAUUCCUCCCAGUUCUUCCAAGUGUUCAUCGUUGAGGCAACCAUCUCCCAUGACCUCAAUGGACUUGGCAAAAGAAUUCAUUAUUUCUGAGAGUACAUCUGUAUCAGGUUCAGUUCCAAUUGCCUUGAUUAAGGGAUCACAUAUAAACUGCCACAUCUGUGAAAGAUACUCUGAGCCACGAAUUCUUGCACAUUCCAAGAGAAAGGGCAUGGCUUCCGCAGCUGCCACUCGAACAUUGUCAUGAAAAUAAAAUUUCAGCAGAGGAACCAUCAUCUUCACAACUUGUUCCGUGUAUUCCACAAAUCCUUCUCUUAACUCCUUCGCAUAGUAAACCAACAUCUGGCAAGCAGUUGCUUUUGCUUCAAGUCCUGAAGUUUUGAUGCCAAAGCUUUGCUGGUCUCCGAGGUUUACAAACUGCCAGCCAUCGUCGUCACUCAUGUUCUCCACAUCCUGUGUGUCUAAGAGAGCGACAUCAGGCUUAGCUGAAGCAGUCUUGAUAAGUGGCUCAAUAACCAGUGGGAGAUAUUGCUCAAAGUCUUUGCCAAGGAUUUUACACAUUCUAGCCCAGGCUGAAACCAUGUAAGAAGUCUGAGGGUCAUCAUCUUCCAUGUUAUUUAAGUCUGAUUGUGUUUUCAACAGUAACUGCAUCACAUUUGAUGCAUCUUGCAUAAAUUUUUCCUUCCCAACGGCAAGUCCAACAUGGCUAAUGCAUUCAAUAGUUUUUCCUCGAAGAAGCUUGAGUUCCUUUUGAACAGCGAGCUCAACAACGUGUUUGAGUGAGGGCAUAAAUAUAUCAUAAUAUGGAAUAAAGCUUUCUUCUAUUGCAUCUGCAACGGAAGCAAUGGUUGUCACAAGUUGUUCUAAGGCCAACUUAGUUCCAUUCCGAAUCAGCUCUUGAAGUUUAAUUACCAAGAUGGAAUGGAGACUUUUUACCAUAUUUUCCAAAUAUAGAAUUAGCAAUGACUUGGGGCAGUCUUCAAUAAAAAUAACAAGAGCAGAAGCUGCGUGAGAUUGCACACGUUGAUUACCUUGGUUUUCCAUGGUUCGCAACAAAGCUGUAAUCACUAUCUCAUGGAAUUUCUUUUGGAAACUAGGUGCAAAAUCUGUAGCCAUCUGUCCAAGUGUAGUACAGGCAGCAGCCCUUACCCUUGGAUGAGGAUCCUGAAGAAAAAGUAAAACCGAGUUAACUGUUUCAUCUAGAAUUGGUUCCAUUUGCUGAUGGCAACCUUCUCCAAUGGCUGAUAAGGCCAUUAAUCCGGCGUGUCGACAUUUCCAGUCAGGGCUCUGAAGCAUCUGCAUGAUAUGCUCCUUGGUCAUUGGCAAAACAACUUUCCCACCAAGUCCACAAGCCAGUCUGUCUAGGGCACUCUCAGCAGCAACCGCAUUGCUGUCAAAGUCAUCUUCUUCCAUUUCAUCAGCAUUUACCCAGUCAUCAUCAUCUUGAAGAUCAACCAUCAUUGCUAAUAUAUGAGGCACAGCCUGUGCAAUAAUAUUCGUAUGCUUUUUCAACAUUGGAGUUGCAGUUUCAGAUAAGGUGACUAUUACUUCCAGAGCCAGCUGGCGUUGCAGGUUACUAAGCCUAGAGUCUCCACACAACUUCAGGCUCAACUGCAGAGUAUCUUCUAGAUAGGGACCCAAGUACUUAGGUACAGUAUCUGCAAUCUCAACAAGGGAUUCUAGCACAGAAUCAUCAUCCUGGUAGCAGGAAUCAUUCACAGCCUGUAAGAUCCCAGGAAGCAAAUCCGCAAAGUCUUUGAAAAGAGCAAUAUUGUUUUCAUUAGCAAGGACGAACGUAGCUGCAGCUCUAGCAGAUAAUGUCCUGAUUGCUGGAUGCUCCUGAUCUUGAAUACACUGGUCCAACAACCUCUUGAUGAUAUCCAAAUCGUGACGAUCCUGGUUCCCAAAAAUCCCAGGAAAGUGCCAGAAAACGUGAAGUGCAACUUCCCACAGAACCACAUUUUUAGAGUGAAUCGAAUCAAUGAGGAAUUUCAGACCUUCUGGCCAAUGGUUAGUGCCACUCUCAUCUAUCAAAUUCCUGGCCAGCACCGCAAAAAUAUCACAAAGCUUUUUCCUCAUGCUAGCAUGUGUUUCUAACUUAACGGCCAGUAUCAGUUCAAUCUUGACAUCCCUCUGCACUUCAGGAGGUAGAUUUGGAUAGACCUCCUCAAACCCUGAGGACAAAAGCCGUCGUAGCAGUGCGGCAGCCAUUUGUCUCACCUCAUAACCUGCUCUUCUAUUUCGGACGGCGUCUAAGAGAAAUGUAGUCUUACACAGACCUGGGAUAUUCUCAUAGACCUCCUCGGCUUGCCUCCGCACCAUGCAGCUUGGAUUGAUCAGGUUCUUCAGAAGCUGGUAAAACUCCUGCUUUUCCGACACGGUCGCCGGCAACCCUGCAGACCCGGCCGCCGCCAUCGCGUCCUGUCAAAGCUACCGCGACCGGGAAGGAGGGAGGGAGUCUGCGGCUGGGAGCGGUGACGUCAGUGAGGCGACGCCGGGGAUGGGCGGGGCGCUGCUCCCACUCUCCGCUGCGGCGGGGUGAAGCUGGCAGGCGGGGGUCUGGGUUUUACAGGGUGGACGGAGCUGAGUGCGUUUUAGGGGUAUCGUCCUGUUCUCCGACCGAUGUGCUCCUGUAGAGGCUGGAAGGAGAUGGGGAGAAAUUCGCUCCGCAAGUCUACAUACUGUAUGAUGCCGUUAUUGUUUGUAAAAGACCUCGAAUAAGCACCUCUAGACGAACUUUAAUUAGCACCUGCUAUGGAGUGAGGGAGGAGGGAAGAAUGGAGUAUAACUGCUGUCCGGGGAUUUCUUUUUGAGGGUUGGUAAAAAUGUUCUGCAGUUGAUAGUGAUGAUGGUUCCCCCAAUGUCAUGCCGUUCUACUAAGAACUACCGAAUUAUACAAUUUAAAUUGUUAACUGGGUAUAGUGAGUAAAACCAUAAUAAAAC